UCUUCUUGAAUGCUCUGAGCUUUUAUGAGUACAUACGUACAGCUCAUACCGGAGGGUCAAUAGCUGGGAGUUGGAUUAUUGCAACUAGCGCUAAGACUAAAAAAAAACAAGAGAUGCAAGGUACAGGCGUAAUAAAAGAGAAAGGAUAAUAGACAUUGGUAUUCAGUGUGAUUAUGAGGAAGAGUUAAAGAAGCUACUGGGAUUGAAAAGGACGAGAAAAUGAUGGCAAUAUUGAUCGAUGCAACUACUUCUGAACUAGAGAGCUUCAACAAUCAUCUUUUGAUGUACGCUCCAAACCAAAGCGAAAUGCGUUCAGCUAUGCUGUUUAUAGAUGCAUGUGUCAGUUAACAGCAAUAGAUUAUUCAAAACACUUGAAUCGUCCUGUUUUGUUGGACAAACAAGGAAAUUAGAGGAGAAAAAAAGUGUACUCAAAAGCUGCUUGUAAUUGGACCACAAGGCCUGUGAAAAAAACAUACAUAACCGGUUUGAUCACACAUAACCGGUUUGAUCACUGAAGUUAUAAAUGAAUUCACCAUAGGCAAGAAAAGAAUAAGUGUCAAAUGUGAACAGCUGCCUGAAGACUCCAAAAGAAUUAGGUCAACUAUAGCCCCUGUCACCCCUCCACCUACAUCAAUACUUGGAGAUCAGCAUGUCUCUAGAUUGAGAAAAGCGAAAAAAAUGAAUUGUUGCCCAAGACGUGUUUGAUAUUCAUUUGAAGUUGACGCAGAAGUUAUCUUUGUUAACUAUUAAGUUUCACAUCUUUAGUGUUAAUAUAAUUUUAGAGGUGUUUUGAAAGUGUACAAUCUUACAUUAUGUUAUAAAUAAUGAAUGCUCUUGGUUGUACAAUGCAAUUACAUUUUUUAGUAAGUUUUAAUAUUAAAUUUAGCAUAAAAUGACAUUUUUUAGGAAGUUUUAAUGUUGAAUUUAGCAUAAAAUAUUUUUUUAUGUUAUAUUUUGUGCGAUUUUUAUCAAUAUAUUUUUAUGCUCCCCUAAAAUUUAUUUUGGGGGGAGCAUAUUGUCGCCGCUUCGUCUGUCCGUCCGUGUGUCCGUCUGUGCACAAUUUUUGUCCAGGCUAUUUCUCAGAAAGUAAUGACCGGAAUUCAAUGAAACUUUAUGGGAAGCUUCACUACCAAGAGGAGAUGUGCAUAUUAUCAGCCGGUUCUCUUCAGAUGAUUUUUCACAGAGUUAUGGCCCUUUGAAAUUUUCUAUAAACUGUACAUAUAGUGCAUUUCUUGUCCGGACUAUUUCUCCCCAACUACUGACCGGAAUUCAAUGAAGCUUUAAUCCAUCCAUCGUAUAAUUUUGUCCAAAGUUAUGCCCCUUAAGACGUUUCCUUUUAUCUGAAUAUAUAGUGCAAUAAUGUGACAAAAACAACAACUUUUGGGGAGCAUCACCAGUCUACACCGGUUUCUUGUUACACAUGUAAAGAACACAAUUUUUCUUACAAAAUGUUCAGUUUUUUGUUUGAUUAUCGAUAUGUGUUUUUCAUUGUCUUCUUUAUUACCUGUAUUUAAUAAACCAUUGUAGUCAAUGUC